GAGCCGAGGCUCAGAUGCCACUAGCUGGCGCUGACAUCUCGCCCUCAAAACUUAAACCUCCAGGGUGCACGCGCAGAUGCGUAUACACGCUAAAGAUUGCGUAAGCACGCUAAGAAUUGCGUAGGCAUGCCGGUAAGAGUGAGCAGCCAAUCAGGGUAUUGACACGUCACUCAGGUGGACCCAGGCUUAUAUAAACAGCGCUACUCCGGGGCCCGCCCUCUCCUUCGAUCUCUUCCUUCCCCGUUUCCCCGCCCGGGGCCGCGGCCCUCGGGAAGCCGCCCGCGCCCACGAGGUGGCCGGGCGGCCUCUCUCUCCCCUCUUCAUCGCGUGACUAAUAAAGUUUACUGCGGAAGGAUUCCUGUGGUCGCGUGCGUUUCUGCCGGCGAAACAUUCACGCGGCGGCUCCCAACAUCUGGUGCCGAAACCCGGGAACAUUGCUGGGAAGAAAACAAUCCAUUCUGGGUACCGGAGCGCCUCACGCGAAAGCUCGUGACAGCUGAAGAUGAUCUUCCAACAGACACAUCUGCUACUGCUGAAAGAAUCAAGGACAGCGAGGAGGACCACUAAUUCUACUCGAGUGGAUUCAUUGCCCACAGACUGGCUUUACCCUGGGUUUCUUCUGCCUUUUCUUACUUCAGAUUGGGUGGGGGUCGGAAUGUUUGGUGUAGCAUUGUGUCGUGGCUUAGUGUUUUUUACUCUGGUUGUUCUGCAAACUCUAUACCCAAAACAAACGUGACUAGGUCGCAAUCGCGCAAGCACUAGCACCCUUGGAACAAGGAUCGUCUCCCAAAAAUUUGGUUAUCCAUGUUAAAAAAUUAAAACAGACUGUGACACUCAGUCGAUGCACCUCAGGGGUUUCACCCAUUGCACUGAGUCGAUGAGUGAUCCAGGUUAAUGUUGCCUUUGCCUAAACGGUUAUGGUACCUAGACAGGAGGGUGACAGCUCUUGCACUCCCUGGAAUUUUAUUCCAUUGCACGGGAAUGAGUGUCACCUCCUUUCUGAGAUGUGGUACCUAGACAGGAGGGUGACAGCUCUUGCACUCCCUGGAAUUUUAUUCCAUUGCACGGAAAUGAGUGUCACCUCCUUUCUGAGAUGUGGUACCUAGACAGGAGGGUGACAGCUCUUGCACUCCCUGGAAUUUUAUUCCAUUGCACGGGAAUGAGUGUCACCUCCUUUCUGAGAUGUGGUACCUAGACAGGAGGGUGACAGCUCUUGCACUCCCUGGAAUUUUAUUCCAUUGCACGGGAAUGAGUGUCACCUCCUUUUAAAAAUCUUCUCCCCUAGCCCCUGCACCCAGAGGACUUGUUUCCAUUGCACCUGGUGGGGUAAGGGAGUAAUCUAAAGCUUUUGAUCGCUUACUCCCCAAAGAAGGAGUUUGCUUGAUCGAGCUUAGGGCCCUCUUGUACCGUGCUUAUAGGCUUUUAGGCAGUUUUCAUUUAUUUAUUUAUAACAAAAAGGGAGAUGUGGGGAGCCGAGGCUCAGAUGCCACUAGCUGGCGCUGACAUCUCGCCCUCAAAACUUAAACCUCCAGGGUGCACGCGCAGAUGCGUAUACACGCUAAAGAUUGCGUAAGCACGCUAAGAAUUGCGUAGGCAUGCCGGUAAGAGUGAGCAGCCAAUCAGGGUAUUGACACGUCACUCAGGUGGACCCAGGCUUAUAUAAACAGCGCUACUCCGGGGCCCGCCCUCUCCUUCGAUCUCUUCCUUCCCCGUUUCCCCGCCCGGGGCCGCGGCCCUCGGGAAGCCGCCCGCGCCCACGAGGUGGCCGGGCGGCCUCUCUCUCCCCUCUUCAUCGCGUGACUAAUAAAGUUUACUGCGGAAGGA